GACGUAGGUGGCGAACGUUAUCCGGAAUCAUUGGGCGUAAAGCGCGCGUAGGCGGCCCGGUAAGUCCGCUGUAAAAGUCCAGGGCUCAACCCUGGAACGCCGGUGGAUACUGUCGGGCUAGAGUCCGGAAGAGGCGAGUGGAAUUCCUGGUGUAGCGGUGGAAUGCGCAGAUAUCAGGAGGAACACCGAUGGCGAAGGCAGCUCGCUGGGACGGUACUGACGCUGAGGCGCGAAAGCGUGGGGAGCGAACAGG
rnacentral:rRNA from 1 species